rnacentral:rRNA from 1 species
AGCGAACGCUGGCGGCAGGCUUAACACAUGCAAGUCGAGCGGGCAUCCUUGUGGUGUCAGCGGCAGACGGGUGAGUAACGCGUGGGAACGUGCCCAUCGGUUCGGAAUAACUCAGGGAAACUUGAGCUAAUACCGGAUACGUGCGAGAGCAGAAAGGUUUAUCUGCCGAAGGAUCGGCCCGCGUCUGAUUAGCUAGUUGGUGAGGUUAUGGCUCACCAAGGCGACGAUCAGUAGCUGGUCUGAGAGGAUGAUCAGCCACACUGGGACUGAGACACGGCCCAGACUCCUACGGGAGGCAGCAGUGGGGAAUAUUGGACAAUGGGGGCAACCCUGAUCCAGCCAUGCCGCGUGAGUGAUGACGGCCUUAGGGUUGUAAAGCUCUUUUCUCCGGGACGAUAAUGACGGUACCGGAGGAAUAAGCCCCGGCUAACUUCGUG